rnacentral:lncRNA from 1 species
CAUAGCAUGUAGAAAUUCUUGGGCCAGGGAUCAAACCUGUGUCACAGCAGCAGCCCAAGCCACUAAAAAUCCAGUGGCCAAGAAGCUCCAAGAAACCUUCACAUUGAGAAAUCUGAGAAUCAACCAUAGAAAAAAGAAUCUCAGAAAUAUUUAAUGUCUUUGAGGCUUAUAUCCUCUUAUAGGGUCAAAAUAAUUAAGUCAAAAACUGGGAUUUUUUUUAAGAUGGCAUAUUUUUUGGUGACCUUUCAACUAUACCCUUCUUUUUUUUCUUUUUCAGCCACACCUGCAGCAUAUGGAAGUUCCCAGGCCAGGGACUGAAUCCAAGCUAGAGCUGCAACCUACACCACAGCUGCAGCAAUGCUGGAUCCUUAACCCACCAUGCUGGGCUGGGCUGGGGGUUGACCCUAACUGACUCCACAGAGAGAAACUGGAUAAGCAACCCACUGCACCACAGCAGAAACUCCCCAACUACACACGUUUUUGUUUUUUUUUUUAAAGGGCCAACACCUGUGGCAAAUGCAAGUUCCCAGGCUAUGGGUUGAAUCAUAAGCUGUAUCUGCCAGCCUACAUCACAGCCACAGCCCACGCCGGAUCCUUAAGCCACUGAGUGAAGCCAAGGACGGAACUGCAUCUUCAUGGAUACCAGUUGGAUUAGCUAAGCCACAAAAGGAACUCUCCAACUAUACACUUUUAACAAUAUAAUGGUUAUGCAGUAAAAAGGUCAAAGUCAGCUAAAUUUGUAGAUACGUUUCAGAACAUAAACUGCUCCAAAAUUUCCUAUUCUUAAAUCUGUUUUUAUUAAACUCAUCUAAAAUAUAAGAUGGACUUUUCUGAAUAAAGCUGCAUUAUAUUUAGUCUCUGUCAAAAAAAGAAAAAGACAAAUUACCUAGCAAGAAUUCAUGCAGUUCUCACAGUGAAAAGAGUACUAAAACAAGCACAUUAUCAUUUUAGUUAGUGCUAAACAAAUACCCUGGAACUGUACAAAAGAGGAAAUUCUGAUAUAAUCAUUUUCUAAGAGUUGAAUUCCUUGGGACUAGGUCAGGUGCCCACCACACCAAUUUGCUGAAAGGAUUAAUUCAAAGUUUCCCUUUAAAUAAGGUUAUUCGAGAGUUUUGUUUUGUUUUUUAAAUAUCAACAAUUAUCCUUCAAACUAUGUUAUGAAUAAUCCUCUUGGUUUAGGAAAAGGAGAGCUCAAACUCUAGGGCUUUGGUCGUGGGGUAAGAAUAAAGGGCGAGAAGCAAGCCAAUAGGCAGGCAAUUUUUCUGCUUUUGAUGGAUUUCAACUGUGUUUGCCAAGAUUACUAUUACAAUGAGUGGGAUUCAACUUUAAUGCAAAUCUCUUCUGGAUUAUUACAAAAUUACCACAUGUCACAUGAGCUCAAACAACAUCAGGUACAAAAAAUACACAAUAUUAACAUAAUUAAUGUAUAAGACAGUUUUAAAAGGUAAAAUAUUUUGACAGGUUAAAAAAAUACAAACAUUCAAAAAAAAAAAAAAACCCAAAAGGGGGUCUCCACCCGGAUUCAACAAUGGGAUCAAUGCAGUAGCUAAGAUUAUAUUCAGACUGGAACAAAUUCUGGAAAGUCAUGCUACAAAAGAGAAUGAAAAAAAAUGCUGGGCAGCUCAAAAUUUUAUAGCCAAUACUCAAAGUUAAAAUGUUUGUGUCUCCUAACCUCUAAAGACAACAGAGGGGUUCCCCCAUUAAAAAAAAAAAAAAAAAAAAA